CGGCGGCCCUGCGGGCGCUGGCUGCCCGACGUCCGCCUGCGCCCCGCCGCGCCUCCGUCCCGCUCGCCCGCUCCGCUCUGCGGCCUUCGGCUUCCCCUCUGCACCGCCUUUGCCACCCUCCGCCGCCAGGGAUUCCUCGAGACCUCUUCGGUGACCCCUGCGUGCCCUUCGCUCCCUGCAGAUCCAUCCCGCGUCCUGGCCUGCCCAGUCUCAGCCGGAUAGACCGCGCGCCUCUCGGUUCACCCUUGUCAACUCCUGCGGCCCCUCAGGUGCUGUCUGCCUCAGGGCCCAGGGAGGUCGGGAUUUGAAUGGGACGGGAAGGCCAUCCAGAAUCAUCCGGUGCUUCACUCAACAUUCUCUUCAAGAAAAUCCCCCUACAGAAAGGUCAUAAGACCCGCCAUUCCAGAGAGGGUCCUGCCACCCACUG